rnacentral:tRNA from 1 species
GUAGACAUAGUUUAACUAAAACAUUAGAUUGUGAUUCUAGAAAUAAGGGUUAAACCCCCCUUGUCCACC